GAUGAAGAACGUAGCGAAAUGCGAUAAGUAAUGUGAAUUGCAGAAUUCAGUGAAUCAUCGAAUCUUUGAACGCACAUUGCGCCCCCUGGUAUUCCGGGGGGCAUGCCUGUCCGAGCGUCAUUACUGCCCUCAAGCGCGGCUUGUGUGUUGGGCCCUCGUCCCCCCGGGGACGUGCCCGAAAGGCAGUGGCGGCGCCGUGCCCGGACCUCGAGCGUAUGGGGCUUUGUCACCCGCUCUGGAGGCCCGGCCGGCGGCCGUCGGACCAACCCAACCUUUUUAACCGGUUGACCUCGGAUCAGGCAGGGAUACCCGCUGAACUUAAGCAUAUCAAUAAGCGGAGGA
rnacentral:misc_RNA from 1 species